rnacentral:rRNA from 1 species
UACGUUGGGAGCAAGCGUUGUCCGGAAUCAUUGGGCGUAAAGCGCGCGUAGGUGGCUUCGUAAGUCCGUUGUGAAAGUCAAAGGCUCAACCUUUGAAAGCCGAUGGAUACUGUGAAGCUAGAGUACGGAAGAGGCGAGUGGAAUUCCUGGUGUAGCGGUGGAAUGCGCAGAUAUCAGGAGGAACACCAAUAGCGAAGGCAGCUCGCUGGGACGUUACUGACACUGAGGCGCGAAAGCGUGGGGAGCGAACAGG